rnacentral:rRNA from 1 species
CCUACGGGUGGCUGCAGUAGGGAAUUUUGCGCAAUGGGCGAAAGCCUGACGCAGCAACGCCGCGUGAUCGAGACGCCCUUCGGGGUGUAUAGACCUGUCAGUGGGGACGACACUUGACGGUACCCACAGAGGAAGCACCGGCUAACUCCGUGCCAGCAGCCGCGGUAAUAUGGGGGGUGCAAUCGUUGUCCGGAAUCAUUGGGCGUAAAGGGGUUGUAGGCGGUACGUAAAGUCUGGUGGUAAAGGCGGAGGCUUAAAUUCUGUACGGCACUUGAUACUUGCGGGCUAGAUUGCGGUAGAGGUACAGGGAAUUCGUGGUGUAGCGGUGAAAUGCUUAGAUAUCAGGAAGAACAUCGGUGGCGUAAGCACUUUACUGGGCCGUAAUUGACGCUGAGGAACGAAAGCCAGGGUAGCAAAUGGGAUUAGAUACCCCAGUAGUC